rnacentral:siRNA from 1 species
UGUAGUUGGUAAAGUGAGUGG